GUUUGUCAUUCAGAGGAGGGUAGCUGUUGAAACAGAAUUGGGAAAAGAGGUUGUUGAAGUAAAGGAAGUCAUGGAGUUAAUUAAGGUUGCUGGUCUUAUGAAAACUGUGAUUGCUCUUCCCCAGUGCUAUGAGGGGUUAGUAAAAGAAUUCAUUGUGAAUAUCCCUGAGGAUAUUUAUGAAAAAAGCAGCAGGGAGGUUUGUAAGGUUUUUGUAAGGGGUAAAUGUGUG
rnacentral:lncRNA from 1 species